CCUCCAUCUCAAUAGUCUCGAUCCAACGAUUACACCAGCGAACACCGCAAACAAGCAAAGGAACAUAGAAUCGUAAGUAGAAAAGACGGAUUUUCGACGAGGUCCUAUGGAAUACGAAAUCGUAUGCGGUGAACUGCGAGAACAACGUACGAGGACGAGGAGGGCGAACAUGUGCGAGCGAAGGGAAAACAGGUUCUCUCGCCAAGGGAUUGAAAAACUGCUUGGAUCCACCUUUUCGGCUGAAACUAGGCCCCGGCAUCCAUGUAAAAGUUCCCCCCCCCCCCCGAAGGACUUUAUUCUCACACCCACACCCAUGCGGUAUGUGGCAGCGGCGUAUGCAGGUAUGCAGGUAUAGGCGCAAGCCUCGGGCGAAGCGAAGAUUUCGACGAAAAUACGCGAGAAUACGGAAUCGAGACUACCAAUGCUAUCUGUAGACCCGAUAAGCAAACAGUUGGUAUCCCUCUAUCAUCGCUUUGCUCAUAGAUAAUGUACAACGCCGUCCUGGGACACUUUUCGCUGGUCCUGGCUUCUUCUCUUCACGAGAGUCCGGUUGUCCUGAGACAAGAGGGUGCCGUAGCUUGCUGCUAAAUCUGGAACACCGACACUGCAUAGAUGGAUACCGCGUAGUAUCCAUAGACGCGCGCAUCUUAAAACACAACGUUUUCUGGAGACUCCGCACGCGUGUACGCCUAACAAACAUACUGCCGAGAUCGCGCUGUGUUUCUUCCGUUUAAUUACUAAACGAGUAACAGCAUUCGAGUCUCCGAUAAAUACGACGAUUUCAGGUUCGAAUGAUAAACCGGUGAAAGAAGUAUGUAUGUAGUAGCAAAGCGUGGUUUGCUGCCUGCCGGGUGAUGGGUCAAGCAUCGUCCACGUUUUUAUAGGUUGGCCCGGCCCGUUGUAUCGGUACAUGCACGCGGCACGCAGUAUGCCAGUGUGCCAUAAGACCGGUAAGACUACAACUUGGUCUAGCCAGCAUACGCUGUGCGAGAGACUGUCGGCGCUGCGUUGGCUGGUCGACGAUCGCGAAUAAAGCGAACGCGUAGAAAAGUAACGUACGCAUGUUCUUUUCGUUCGUAACGCGUUAUCGUUUCUAUUUAUCGUGUCCUCUUCUUUCAUCGUACGAACUCGUCGAGAUAAUGCGAACAGAGAAAUCUGGGGCGUGUACGUUCGGUAUUCUAGUUCCUGAUAACACUUUGCGAGGCCAUGGCAAACGGUAAAAUAGCAAUGAUCAAAAUUAAUCGUAUCCUGGCCAUAAUCGUUAAGAUUGUUCGCACCGUUGCGAGCGCUACGAAGAUUGGCUGUGCCUGUCUUUGCCCGUGCUUAUUAUCGUUACUAUUAUUAUAAUAUACGACCGUAUGACGCAUUUUAGGAUUCUAGGUAGCGUAGAAUCGAGACAGCCGCCAUAAGUCACAUAUUUGAUUUGCGUGGCCGCGGAGGGUUCCAGGAGCCUGGGAAAACUCGUAGGAUUUUAUAAGGAGACGCAGGCGCGAUCGGCGGUCGCGUCGCAGGACUGGGCGUGGUGGCAAUUUUCGGGGAUGCUUACGAACACGCGGCUUUUUCGCCCUCGAUGGCUCAACGACCGAACGACGCGGGACGAAAAUAAUUCGAGGAAUGCGCUCGAGGAUAGAAUCGGCGAACGCGGCUCCUGCGACUACGGUACGUUAACGUUGAUUCGAUUUUGAAACGGUUUUCGUCGAUCGGAGCUAGUCCGUCUUCAUCUAAUAUUGUGCUGCGUUUGUUUCGGAGCGACGAGGAAGCUGAAAGAUAACCGAAGGACGAGCAACGUAUUCGUUGGGAGGAAAUAUUUGAAAAUUCUCACGGCUCUUUCUCGAUGAAGGAGAGACAGUUGUUCGGAAGCUUGCGAGUUUGAAAAACUAGGAGUCAUCGCUUUUAGCCGACGAUAUCCGGGUAAAAGACGUGGGUGUACGCAGUUACGAACACGUCGACGCAUCGGUGCUAUACACGCCGCAGCCGCACGCAUACAGCCGCGCGUAUGCACUGGUUGCACGCGUGUGCGUCGUAUCCCGCAGGAUAUUGGCCUAGGCGCUGUGUGAUUGGCCGAUCGUGCAACCAGGGUCGACGAUGCCUGUGCAAGUCUUUCCUCGUGUGUGCUAUUCAGUGGCGUAACGCCGUGGCUUCGCAUUUUUUAGGCUUUUUAAAUUCAUCUUUGGAAAAUCGAUUCAGCCAACGUAACUUCUUUGCAAAAAGACUUUGGACGAUUCGUGUAACGCGACUCGAUAAUGUAAGAGAAAUCCUUGGUGCCUAAAGUCAAGAUCGUCGAUGUCACAAAUACCGUCUUGCAAUAGCAAUUAUCGUUUUACCAAUUAACGGAUUGCAGAGCGUUUACGCGAAUUCUCAUUUUUCUAGUCUGCUGCGAAUGUCGGAGUGUCAACGAUACGAUCGUCGCAAACACGUAAAAAAAUAGGAACGAAAGUGGCUUGGAUGCAAAAGACGAGCGUCGUCUCUCCAAGAUGAAUCUUGAAUCUUGUUAAACACACACACACACACGCACACAGAGAGAGAGAGAGAGAGAGAGAGAAAGAGAGAGAGAGAGAGAGAGAGAGAGAGAGGAAUUUUGCGAAUCCACUUAAUGGUUGGCUCGCAUUUCAUGGUAGGUCGAUAAACCGCCAGAGACUGUUCCAAUAGCUGUACAUGCAACAGAAAUGACCUUUACUUCUUGUCGGCAGCGUGCAUUCGGCUCGAGAAUCAGCUGCGCAGGUCCCCUAGAUAUAUUUCGCAUUAGAAGCGCGUCGGUUACGCCACUGCGACGUUACUCGUGCUCUCCUCGCACAUACAUAUAGACAGAGGCAGAGGCAAGAGGCACACGAACAGGGAGAAACAGACAGCCAGCCGUCGCGCGGAUAGAGGAUAGAGAGACGGCAAAGAAGAGAGAUAGAGAGAGUCGGAGAGAUAGAGCAACGCACCAACACAUGUUGGCGUGGCCACCCCUAUGCGAGUCGGGCCAUGACCAGCUCUUGGCUGAGUGCGUCUUCUAAACGCACGGUUCGUCAGUGGUCGCCGAGUAGGUCGUAGGAGAGGGUUUCCGUUCGCGCGUCGACUUCGUCCUGGCUGCGGGUGUGCACUCGUAUCGCAAGAACAGACGAAUCGUCGAGACCGUGUUGCCCGAUGUGCAAGAAAAUAGAGGAAAAUCAAAGAAAACUGAAGGAAACCGAAGAAAAUUGAAAAGCUCUUUCGACUACGGACUUGGAAAGGGAGCACAGAGAAAGCGCGCGCGCGCGCGCGCACGGACACGGAACAGAGGCAAAUGAAAAGAAUUCUGCGAUGAACGCAGGAGACCCUUCUCGAGGCUACUGCUGAGAGCAGACAGAAAUUGCAAGCGAAACUAA